rnacentral:lncRNA from 1 species
UGAAUUGUCCAAUUUCAUGGACCAAUCGAUAUUGGAUUAAGUCCAAAACUUGGGGAACAACAGAAUAUGAUGGGAGAAGUCAUUUGGUGUCUUUUGCCUGAAAUCCAAUGGCUAAAACUAGGCAAUACACCAAGCACUCCACUUCAGAACGAACUUCGUACGAACCUGAAUUGUCCAAUUUCAGGGACCAAUCGAUAUCGGAUUGAGUCCAAAACCUGGGAAUCUUCAUAAUACGGUGGGAGGAGUCAUUUGGUGGGUUUUGAGCGAAAUCC